AAAACAUGACAAAGUGCCCUCUAGGGUGCCCUUCCAGUAGAGAAAAUAUGAUAAAGUGCCCUUUAGGGUGCCCUUCCAGUAGAGAAAACAUGACAAGGUGCCCUCUAGGGUGCCCUUCCAACAGAGAAAACCUGAUAAAGUGCCAUCUAGGGUGCCCCUCUAGUAGAGAAAACAUGAUAAAGUGCCUUUUAGGGGGCCCUCCCAGUAGAGAAAACCUGAUAAAGUGCCCUCUAGGGUGGCCUU